rnacentral:rRNA from 1 species
CCUACGGGAGGCAGCAGUGAGGAAUAUUGGUCAAUGGACGAGAGUCUGAACCAGCCAAGUAGCGUGAAGGAUGACUGCCCUAUGGGUUGUAAACUUCUUUUAUAUGGGAAUAAAAUGUUCCACGUGUGGGCUUUUGUAUGUACCAUAUGAAUAAGGAUCGGCUAACUCCGUGCCAGCAGCCGCGGUAAUACUGAGGAUCCGAGCGUUAUCCGGAUUUAUUGGGUUUAAAGGGAGCGUAGGUGGAUUGUUAAGUCAGUUGUGAAAGUUUGCGGCUAAACCGUAAAAUUGCAGUUGAAACUGGCAGUCUUGAGUACAGUAGAGGUGGGCGGAAUUCGUGGUGUAGCGGUGAAAUGCUUAGAUAUCACGAAGAACUCCGAUUGCGAAGGCAGCUCACUGGACUGCAACUGACACUGAGGCUCGAAAGUGUGGGUAUCAAACAGGAUUAGAUACCCUAGUAGUC